UCGGGUUUCAUCGUCGCCCUCGAC
rnacentral:miRNA from 14 species